UACGAAGGGUGCAAGCGUUACUCGGAAUUACUGGGCGUAAAGCGUGCGUAGGCGGUUUGUUAAGUCCGUUGUGAAAGCCCUGGGCUCAACCUGAGAAUUGCAGUGGAUACUGGCGAGCUAGAGUGCGGUAGAGGAUGGUGGAAUUCCCGGUGUAGCGGUGAAAUGCGUAGAGAUCGGGAGGAACACCCGUGGCGAAGGCGGCCAUCUGGACCAGCACUGACGCUGAGGCACGAAAGCGUGGGGAGCAAACAGG
rnacentral:rRNA from 1 species